GGUCGAGUUCCUCCCCUACUUCGUGUUCCCCUUCUGUAGCGUGUUCUCGGCCGACCCGCUGGCCGCCCUCGAGACGGUCAUCACGCUGCUCGUAAACUGGUGCCAGCGGUGGUUCGAGUUCUUCCCGUACCCGCCCAUCUCGGUGCUGGGCAUGGUGGAGAACAUGCUGGCGCACCACUGCCCCGAGCUGCUGCGACACUACAUGGAGCUGGGCGUCACCGCGCACGUGUACGGCUGGCCCCUGCUCGAGACCGCCUUCUCCGAGGUGUUCACCCAGAACGACUGGCUGGUGGCCUGGGACCACAUCCUGACCAACGACCCGUC